rnacentral:lncRNA from 1 species
UUGCUUUGGAAUUUGAAACUGCCAUUUGGGCAUCUAAUGAGAAUCAUAGAUAUAGCCAUUUAAUUCUACCUUUAAGGCUGUUCUUUUUAAUAGCAAAUUAUACUUUACCAAUUAUCAUCUCUUGGGAAGGAAGUCAACGUUUGGAGACAUGUGUUUUUCAUUAUGUAGUUAUAAAAUUGAGGGUGUCUGCUUUCCCCUGGGGCAAUCAGAAAGAAAUGUGCAUGAGUUGCUUUUGUACCCUUAAAAUCCUUUAAAAAUUUUGCAGCAAACAAUUGUCCAUAUGUAACAAGCUUAUUCUUCUACACCACAAGCCAUUACCAUACUGGUAAUAAGUUGCUCAUUAAUAGUCCACAUACAUGUACCUAUCAUUCAUAUAAUCAAUACUUGCUCUAGUGAAGCAAUUUGAACACUAACCUUGUAUGCAUCAACAGACUCAGUAUUCACAGUUACUUACCAUACAAAAGUUCAUAUACCUUAAAGCUUUUGCUCUGUGUUCUCUACUGAUUCAUUGGAAAGUAUUAAUAGAAUUGCCUAAGAAGUAAAAUUGAAAUGUUGUUAAUCUGAAAUUUAAUGAUUCUUUUAUAAGUAUUGUAGUUCAAAAGAGAGUAGGAAUUAGAAUGAUCACUUUGUGUAAAAUUCAUUAAAAUACAAGGCUGCUAUUUUUGCAAGUAUUUUAAAUGUCUUCAUUUUAAAAUAAAGGAAUAGUGAUAGAUUUCUAU